rnacentral:rRNA from 1 species
AUGAGGACUCUGUUUUCAACACACUUGGUGUCCCUAAUGGCGGCAUGGAUGUACAAAGUGGAUAGGAAUGUGCAAGCAUGUCUUCUCCCUGAAAUGUUCCUUGGCCUGACUUCCCUCCCGUUGAACUCUGCUUUUUCCAAUAUGCUUGGUGCGAUGCAAACAAGUGGCGAUGACUUCAAGAGGAAAUUGCUCAUGGACUUGAUCUCAAAUUUCUUUGCCCCCACGACAUCAUUACACCCUAACAGUAGAUGUUUUCCUAUUCUGGACCAUAUAGGCAAUGUUGCCAACAUGAACUGGUGCAAGUUCAUAGUUGGUUUCCUUCAUACUUCACUAUUUAAUAAGAUGUACAACAAAGGUUGCAGGCUUCAUCUAAUGCUCAUGUAUGUCGAUAAACUUGACAUCAGCACUGUCAAUCUUAACCCGGUUGGCGGACUACCUCCAUCACACAAGUUUUCUACAUCUGCUUGGUCUGAUGCCACAACCAAGGCUGUUCUCACUGCGGAUAAGAAGCUUGAUGGGAUCUUAUGGGCGAACACAAUGUUGACUACAACUUCUUUGGGGGCCCCAACAACUUCAGUAAAUGGAUGGAUGUUCACACGAAUGCUUCAUGCCCAUUAA